UGGGGAAUUUUCCGCAAUGGGCGCAAGCCUGACGGAGCAAUACCGCGUGAGGGAGGAAGGCUUUUGGGUUGUAAAGCUCUUUCGCCAGGGAUGAUAAUGACAGUACCUGGUAAAGAAACCCCGGCUAACUCCGUGCCAGCAGCCGCGGUAAUACGGAGGGGGUUAGCGUUGUUCGGAAUUACUGGGCGUAAAGCGCACGUAGGCGGACUAUUAAGUGAGGGGUGAAAUCCCGGGGCUCAACCCCGGAACUGCCUCUCAUACUGGUAGUCUUGAGUUCGAGAGAGGUGAGUGGAAUUCCGAGUGUAGAGGUGAAAUUCGUAGAUAUUCGGAGGAACACCAGUGGCGAAGGCGGCUCACUGGCUCGAUACUGACGCUGAGGUGCGAAAGUGCGGGGAGCAAACAGGAUUAGAUACCCCCGUAGU
rnacentral:rRNA from 1 species